CAUAGCGACUAUCGUGGCAUAUCAAUAAGCGGAGGAAAAGAAACUAACAAGGAUUCCCUUAGUAACGGCGAGUGAAGCGGGAAGAGCUCAAAUUUGAAAUCUUCAAGGUUUUACCUUGACGAAUUGUAGUUUAUAGAAGUGUUUUCUGUUAGUAGAGUUUGGUAAAAGUUCUUUGGAAGUAGGACAUCAUAGAGGGUGAGAAUCCCGUAUUUGGAUCCAUUAUUUCUAGCUGUGUGAUACACUUUCAAAGAGUCGGAUUGUUUGGGAAUGCAGUCCAAAAUGGGUGGUAAAUUUCAUCUAAAGCUAAAUAUUGGCGAGAGACCGAUAGCGAACAAGUACCGUGAGGGAAAGAUGAAAAGAACUUUGAAAAGAGAGUUAAACAGUACGUGAAAUUGUCAAAAGGGAAGCGUUUGACACCAGUGUUGUUUUCUCGAAAAUCAAUUAAGAAUGCCGAUUUUGUGUUGAGGUAUUGACCUUAAUAGGCUUGCUUCACUCCUUUCUUGUAACUUUUUAAUGCACUUUUCGGUUAACAAGUCAACAUCAGUUUCUUUUGUUGUAAAAGGGUCAUUGGAAGGUGGCUUUCUUUUCGGAGAAAGUGUUUAUAGCCUUUGAUCUCUGCAACCGGAGAGACUGAGGUCUGCAGCGUAGACUCUUCGGGGUUAGAUACAUUUGUGCUAAGCUAUAGCUUUCUAUAGACAACUUGUUGACUAUAUUUAGUCUUGUGGCUUACUCGCUUAUGCUAUUUUACCUACGCUUAGGAUGUUGAUAUGCAUGACUGAUAU
rnacentral:rRNA from 1 species